CCUGGCUCAGGAUGAACGCUAGCUACAGGCUUAACACAUGCAAGUCGAGGGGCAGCAUGGUCUUAGCUUGCUAAGGCCGAUGGCGACCGGCGCACGGGUGAGUAACACGUAUCCAACCUGCCGUCUACUCUUGGACAGCCUUCUGAAAGGAAGAUUAAUACAAGAUGGCAUCAUGAGUCCACAUGUUCACAUGAUUAAAGGUAUUCCGGUAGACGAUGGGGAUGCGUUCCAUUAGAUAGUAGGCGGGGUAACGGCCCACCUAGUCUUCGAUGGAUAGGGGUUCUGAGAGGAAGGUCCCCCACAUUGGAACUGAGACACGGUCCAAACUCCUACGGGAGGCAGCAGUGAGGAAUAUUGGUCAAUGGGCGAGAGCCUGAACCAGCCAAGUAGCGUGAAGGAUGACUGCCCUAUGGGUUGUAAACUUCUUUUAUAAAGGAAUAAAGUCGGGUAUGCAUACCCGUUUGCAUGUACUUUAUGAAUAAGGAUCGGCUAACUCCGUGCCAGCAGCCGCGGUAAUACGGAGGAUCCGAGCGUUAUCCGGAUUUAUUGGGUUUAAAGGGAGCGUAGAUGGAUGUUUAAGUCAGUUGUGAAAGUUUGCGGCUCAACCGUAAAAUUGCAGUUGAUACUGGAUAUCUUGAGUGCAGUUGAGGCAGGCGGAAUUCGUGGUGUAGCGGUGAAAUGCUUAGAUAUCACGAAGAACUCCGAUUGCGAAGGCAGCCUGCUAAGCUGCAACUGACAUUGAGGCUCGAAAGUGUGGGUAUCAAACAGGAUUAGAUACCCUGGUAGUCCACACGGUAAACGAUGAAUACUCGCUGUUUGCGAUAUACAGCAAGCGGCCAAGCGAAAGCGUUAAGUAUUCCACCUGGGGAGUACGCCGGCAACGGUGAAACUCAAAGGAAUUGACGGGGGCCCGCACAAGCGGAGGAACAUGUGGUUUAAUUCGAUGAUACGCGAGGAACCUUACCCGGGCUUAAAUUGCAGAUGAAUUACGGUGAAAGCCGUAAGCCGCAAGGCAUCUGUGAAGGUGCUGCAUGGUUGUCGUCAGCUCGUGCCGUGAGGUGUCGGCUUAAGUGCCAUAACGAGCGCAACCCUUGUUGUCAGUUACUAACAGGUUCUGCUGAGGACUCUGACAAGACUGCCAUCGUAAGAUGUGAGGAAGGUGGGGAUGACGUCAAAUCAGCACGGCCCUUACGUCCGGGGCUACACACGUGUUACAAUGGGGGGUACAGAGGGCCGCUACCACGCGAGUGGAUGCCAAUCCCAAAAACCUCUCUCAGUUCGGACUGGAGUCUGCAACCCGACUCCACGAAGCUGGAUUCGCUAGUAAUCGCGCAUCAGCCACGGCGCGGUGAAUACGUUCCCGGGCCUUGUACACACCGCC
rnacentral:rRNA from 1 species